rnacentral:rRNA from 1 species
UCUUUUUGAUUUUAUUUAAAGUCAGACCUGCCCAAUGAAUGUUUAAAUGGCCGCAGUACUUUAACUGUGCAAAGGUAGCAUAAUAAUUUGUUUUUUGAUUGGAAACUAGCAUGAAUGGUCAUACGAGGGAUUAACUUUCUUUAUCUUAUAUAAAUUAAAUUUAUUUUUCUGUGAAAAAGCAGAAAUGGUUUUAGUAGACGAUAAGACCCUUUAAAACUUCAUUUGUCAUUAAGGUAUAAUUUUUAAGUUUUUAAUUUUAUACUAUUUUAGGCAAAUUUGGUUGGGGCGACAGGUAAAUUUUUUUAACUUUAUUUUUAUAAAACAUAGAUUAGUGUUCACUUGAUCCGAAUACCAUUUUCGAUUAAAAGUUUAAGUUACUUAA